AUAGCAUAUAAUAUUUUUAUUUGUACAAAAGAUGGACAAUACAAAGAUUUAUGCUCUCACAAUGCUAUUUGUAUUAGCUUUCUUCAUCUUUGCAUCAGAUAUGUGUAUGAAAUCAGAAGGAAAAUAUUUUGUAGAAAACUUCCCAUGUAAGAUGGAUAAAGAAUGUCAAUCUCAUUGUGCGAUUGGAUAUGGAACUUGUGAUCUAGGAUGGUGUUGGUGCCUUCCACCACCUUCUGCCGAUAGUACUCCUACUAUAAUAACUGCAAAUUGAGAAUUAGAAAAUUGAAUGUUGUGAUGAAUUCUUAUCUAAAUAAAAAUUAUUAUAUGUAAAAUAAAUAUCAGUAAGAUAUGAAAAAAAUAUAUUUUAUAAUAAA